ACGGCGAGUGAGUCGGCAACAGCUCAACUUUGAAAUCUGGCACCUUCGGUGUCCAAAUUGUAGUCUCAAAAAAUGUUUUCUGUGCCGGGCCAUGUAUGAGUCUGGUGGAACACAGCGUCAUAGAGGGUGACAACCCCGUUCAUGACAUGGAUACCGGUGCUCUGUGAUACACUCUCGAAGAGUCGAGUUGUUUGGGACUGCAGCUCGAAUUGGGUGGGAAAUUCCAUCUAAAGCUAAAUAUUGACGAGAGACCGAUAGCAAACAAGUACCGUGAGGAAAAGAUGAAAAGCACUUUGAAAAGAGAGUUAACAGUACGUGAAAUUGUUGAAAGGGAAACGAUUGAAGUCAGACGUGCGUGAUGCGGUUCAGCCUUGGUUCCCCAGGGUGUAUUCCGGAUCUUUGCAGGCCAACAUCAGUUUCGAUAGUCGGAUAAAGAUUAGUUGAAUGUGGCACCCUCGGGUGUGUUAUAGCUUCUAAUUGAAUACGAUUGUCGGGACUGAGGAACG
rnacentral:rRNA from 1 species